AAUUAGUGUAGAUCUUCUCCUAAAAAUUAGCCGCUUGUAUAAUCUGAGAUACCUUCCUUGUCUUAAACUCUGAUAUCUACUCUGUCUCCAGCAAACUCUAAUCUUUAAUAAAAGUCUGAUCUUUCAAAUAAACUCUGAUCUGAUUGUUAACGUUAUAAAAGAAGUUAAGUGUGAUAUCAUCAAAUAUAUAACAAGAACUAUAUGUUGGAGGAAGCAAAGUUACCUACAUAUUUCUGGGCUAAAGUAGUCAACAAAGCAUGCUAUACUCACAAUAUCAGUCUAAUCAAUGGAAUAACACCAUAUCAGAGUCUGAAAGAGAAGAAACCAAGCCUGUAUUUUGUCUCUGCUUUCAUAAUGUGCUUGACAUGCAUCCAACAGACUACAAAAUCUCAACAAAAUCUUUGAAGAUUUCUUUAAAGUCGGCCUCUUCAGCUCAUUUAUAGAAUUAUAGGCAUACCAAUGUAACUCCCACACUUCCGUCAUCUUGUACACACAUGACAUCAACUAAUCUCUUAAACCAUUAAAUAUGCAAAAAAAAAAACUCAUAACUUUUAUCAAACACUUAGAAGACACACGUAUAAAUCCGAAAGAUAUAAAACAAUCAUGUAUAUAAAUUUAAACUUGUGAUAAACUUAAGAAUGGAGAGAGAGAUCCGCUUGGGUUCAACGUGAUGAGCUAAAAUUCAUCAAACAUAAUAAUAAUUAAUGAAAAUUGUAUCAAAAGCAAAAACAAAAAUUGAUGACAAACGUAACAGAAAAGAGAGACACCUUCUGGUUUUGCAAAGGAUGAGCUAAAAAAAAAAAAAAAAGCAACAACAAAUAAUGAAAUUUUGAUAACAAAAAAUAAGAAUAACAAAAAAAGAGGAAGAAAGACAUGUAAUGGACAAAGAAUGACCUGAAAACAAAACCAUACCAAUAUCAGGAGAGAAUAACCUUCUCCUCCUGCAAAGAAUUUAGGUGCAAAUAAAACAGCAAGAUAAAGAUAGGUGACUAACGAAAUUCAAAUGAAACGAAACAAUGAGGGAGACAAAGCGAGGGAGAGACUUAGAGCAAGAUUUGAAAUUGAAUUUUGAAUAUUGAGCUUAAUUUCAGUGGGCAAAGUGAAGAAGACACAUAUACUACAAACUUAUAUCCUUAAAAACCGGACUGCAGUAUAGAUAAGAAAGUUGUGUACAUGGGGCAUAUGAG
rnacentral:lncRNA from 1 species